AACGUUUUCAUGCAGCCACAAGGCUCCUGAAGCGCUCCUGAGUUCUCACCCGCUGCUCCCUCAGCUGUGGAGCCCUGGGUUCCAGUCAGUGAAGAAAACAUAAGCAAGGCCCCCAGAAUCUCUACCCUGGCUGAUUGAAGAUGGCCUGCUGUAUAAAUACAAUCUGCAAGACUGGGAGAGGUGAAUGUUUCUUCAAAUGUUCAAAUUCCAACAAAAACACCAAGACAUAAGAAGAAACAGAGAAACAGCCCAAAUUGCUCAAGCACUCAGAGAAUGAAACAGUGGUUAGCAUGGGCAAGAGAGGAAAUGUGGAGAUGGAGGUCAAAGGACACAGAAUAGCAGAUGUGGAGGAUGGACUUGUACAACAUGAGGAAAUCUUGAGAGGAUUCCAAGAUGGCGGCUAGAGGGAGGAAGCAGAAA